rnacentral:rRNA from 1 species
UGCCAGCAGCCGCGGUAAUACGGAGGGGGUUAGCGUUGUUCGGAUUUAUUGGGCGUAAAGGGUUCGUAGGCGGUUUGAAAAGUCGGAUGUGAAAUCUCAGAGCUUAACUCUGAAACUGCAUUCGAAACUCUCAAACUUGAGUAUGAGAGGGGUAAAGGGAAUUCCCGGUGUAAGGGUGAAAUCUGCAGAGAUCGGGAAGAACACCAGUCGCGAAGGCGCUUUACUGGCUCAUUACUAACGCUGAGGGACGAAAGCUAGGGUAGCCAACGGGAUUAGAUA